AUGCACCGAGCAGUGCUAAGUUUCAUGCGUCAAGCCCUUGUAAAAAGAAGCUGCCCUCCGGCGUUGCGACUUUACUCUGUGGCUUGUUGCUUGAAGAGCUUAGAUCAUCAAGAACCUGCUGGAAGCUUCUUUUUCAGCGAGUAUAAAAACCCGUGUCUUCCUCCCUUGAUCACACUAGCAGUUCGUACAUCAAACUGGAACAAGGCCAGGAAGAUUACCUUCAGGGAGUGUGUGAAUAAUUUGGGUGGGUCAAUGACAUUACUACAAGUUCAUGCUACAGCCAUUCGGGUUUUUGUAGAGUUGUCAAUGUUUGAGGAUGCUCUUCUCACUUACAUUGAGGCCAAGAAGGUUGGAGUUGAACUGCAGUUGUGCAACUUCCUGCUGAAGUUAUGCUUGGAGGAAGCUUUUGAGCUUCUGUGUGAAAUGGAAAUGAAAGGCGUGAAACCGAAUGCGGUAACCUAUGGCACUUACCUCUAUGGGCUUUGCCGUACCAGACAUGUGUCAUCUGCAUGGAAUUUUCUUCAAAUGCUUUGUCAGAGAGGCUACCCUCGCAACAGUUAUUGUUAUAAUGCUGUGAUUCAUGGUUUCUGUCAUGAGGAUCAGGUUCACAAAGCCAUGGAGGUGUUUGAUGGGAUGAAGAAGGGCGGACAUAGUUACCUCAAAGAAGCAUUGGGAGUAUUCGAACUCAUGUUUGAGAAGGGAAUAAGCCCGAACAUUGUGACAUGCACCAUUCUAGUUGACAGUUUCAGCAAAGAAGGGAUGAUCAAUGAAGCCCUCCUAUUCCUGGAUAAAGUACGCCAUCUUGGAAUUGUUCCCAACCUUUGUAUGUACAGAGUUAUCAUAAAUGGUCUGUGCAAGGUCAACAAAUGCGAUGAUGUGUGUAUUAUUAUUGAUGGCUGUGUGAAAGCACUGAAACUUCAGGAGGCUUUCAGAUUGUUUCAUAAAAUGUUGGAUGAGGGUACAAAACCUAAUAUAUUCACAUAUACUAGCCUAAUAAAUGGUCUUUGCCAUAAUGACAGACUUUCUGAAGCUGUGACAUUGUUUAAGCAUAUGAUUUGGGAAGGAUUGACACCAGACAGGAUUUUGUAUACAUCUCUUAUUGCAUGCUAUUGUAAGCGUUCAAACAUGAAGGCAGCUUUGGAAAUUUUUAGAGAGAUGGAGAAAGGGGGUUUGUCAGCAGAUGCUUUUGUUUAUACUUGUUUAAUUGGGGGCUUCAGUAAAGUGCUUGCGAUGGAUGGCGCACAAUGGUUGAUGGAAGAAAUGAUAAAUAAGGGGCUUACACCUACUGUAGUAACUUAUACAGAUAUCAUAGUUGGAUACUUCAAAACUGGAGAUGAGAAGAAAGCUCAUAUGAUGUAUAACAGUAUGCUCCAGGCAGGCAUUACACCAGAUGACAAGCUGAGUAGUAUGUUGGGAUUUGGCAAUGAUGGAGAUAGUUUUCAGGACUCCCUGGAAGAGAAGGAUAUAUCAUAA
rnacentral:rRNA from 1 species